CCUACGGGUGGCAGCAGUGAGGAAUAUUGGUCAAUGGACGAGCGUCUGAACCAGCCAAGUAGCGUGAAGGAUGACUGCCCUAUGGGUUGUAAACUUCUUUUAUAUGGGAAUAAAAUGUUCCACGUGUGGGAUUUUGUAUGUACCAUAUGAAUAAGGAUUGGCUAACUCCGUGCCAGCAGCCGCGGUAAUACGGAGGAACGCAGCGUUAUCCGGAUUUAUUGGGGUUAAAGGGAGCGUUGGUGGGUUGUUAAACCAGUUGUGAAAGUUGGCGGCUCAAACGUAAAAUUGCAGUUGAAACUGGCAGUCUUGAGUACAGUAGAGGUGGGCGGAAUUCGUGGUGUAGCGGUGAAAUGCUUAGAUAUCACGAAGAACUCCGAUUGCGAAGGCAGCUCACUGGACUGCAACUGACACUGAGGCUCGAAAGUGUGGGUAUCAAACAGGAUUAGAUACCCUUGUAGUC
rnacentral:rRNA from 1 species